AUGAGGCUUUAUACGUGCCGAUUGGGAAGCACGAGAGGCACCCCCAAGAUUUUUUUUUUGGGGGGGCACACGGGUAGUUUGGCUGGGCCAAGGGUGAGCCCUAAGCCAACUCCCUGUGCUUAUUAUGGGGAGCAUAUGGAGUGGAGAGCGCCGGAGUAUGCGGAAGUGCGCACGAUCUCGCCCAUGCGCACGCACAGUCCGGUGCUAGCGAUCCCAGCCCCUCGCAAGUGCCGUGCUAGAGUAGGCAUCCAGCCUGGAAGGAGGAUGCCUGCACAGCGCAUCUGGCCACCGGUGCGCCUCCUAGGCCCAGGCUAUCCUACGCCUGCUCUAUGCACGGCAACCAUCAGGCCUCUGCACAGCCCAGUUCGCCCUGUGCCAGCACUCCGCUCGUGCAGGGCUGCUAUUACCAUCCAGCCAGGACGGGUUGUGCAGGGGGUGCGCUCCAGACAUCCAGUGCUUACCCAUGGCCCGGUGUAUCCAGUUCCUGCUCCUCGCACUAGCCUUGGGGUGCGUGUCUCCAGUCUGGUACCUCCACUACCAACCCCACGCACCAGGCCUCCAGUGCGUCAGCCCAGUCCUGCUCCUCGCACUAGCCCUGUGGUGCGUGUCCUUAGUCUUGCGUGUCCUAAGCCAGCCCCACGCAUCAGGCCUUCAGUGCGCAGUCCCCGUCCAGAGCUUCCGGCAACAGUGCCUCGUCCAGAGCUUCCGGCAACAGUGCCUCGUCCAGAACUUCCGGCGACAUUGCCCCGUAGAGAGACGGCCCACAGUCCGGAGCCAGCAGAGACGGCCCACAGUCCGGAGUCGCCCUACAGUCCGGAAUCGGCGCAGCGAGAGUCGCCCUACAGUCCGGAAUCGGCGCAGCGAGAGUCGCCCUUCAGCCCGAGGUCUCCAGCGACGCGCAUCAGCCCGAGGUCUUCAGCGAUGCGCCAUAGCCCAGUGACUUCGGGAGGGGUAAUAUGUAAUGGGUAUUUAGCGGGGGUGGACAGGUUAGGUUGGGGAGUAAGGCCGGAGCCUGAUCCACCUCCAUAG
rnacentral:lncRNA from 8 species